rnacentral:lncRNA from 1 species
GGGGUCGAACUCCCCUGCCCUGCAUGGCAGAGGGAGUUCAUCCUCAGCUAGCUGAUAAUAAAACCUCUUGCAGUUUACAUCAGGUGUGGUUUUCUCUUGAGUCUUUGGGGUGCUGGCCAGCUCAUCCUGGGACUUGAGCAGAGGCCAAGCUUCAGGGGUCUUACAUGUGGGGGCUCGCCCACCAGGAUUUGUGGCCUACCCCAAUUCUCAGAGACCCCGCUUGGAGCCCACGUGAGAUGACUGUCAACAGCUUUUACAGGUUCUUUUCACCACAGAGGAGAAGGAGAGAAUUCUGCUGGAGGCAAGAAAGAACGUGCUGGGGGCCAAUGGACAGCUGACACAACUUCUGAAUGAAAUAGAUGCAAGCUUCCCUCUGACACGUCCUAACUGGGACCCUAACAGGCCUGAAGGUAGGGAGCGGUUGACAAUUUUCCACCGGGCUCUGGUAGCAGGACUGAGAAGAGCUGACAGGCGCCCCACCAAUUUGGCUAAGGUAAGAGAGAUCCUACAAGGGGAAAAGGAGCCCCCAGCAGUCUUUUUAGAGUGCCUCUUAGAAGCAUACAGGCAUUACACUCCCUUUGACCCUAUGUCAGAAGGCCAGCAGGCGGUGAUGGCCGUGGCUUUCAUUGGGCAGUCUGCUUCUGACUUAGGAGAAGGUUACAGUGUCUAGAGAGUCUGCAAACAUUAUCUUUGCAAGAUCUGGUUAAGGAGGCAGAGAAAGUGUACCAUAAGAGAGAGACUGAAAAAGAAAAAGGAGAAAGAGAAAAGAGAGAGGCUGAGGCAAGAGAAAGUAGGCGAGAUAGAAGGCAAGAAAGAAAUUUAGCUAAGAUUUUGGCUACAUUCGCAGGUGAUAAGGAAGUUUAUAGAAAAGGUAGAGGAAGUAGGCAGACAGGGUACCUGGGCAACACAGGGCUGAGAAGAUCUCAGAACUCCAGAGGACCUUUACAACUACCUCUAGAUAAGGACCAAUGUGCAUACUGUAAAGAAAAGGGACACUGGGCAAAAGACUGCCCCAAGAAAGAGACAGAUACCAGAUCGCCCAAGGUCCUUACCCUGGAAGAUGAUGACUAGGGGAGAUGGGGCUCGACCCCCUCCCCGAGCCUAGGGUAACCCUAACUAUAGAGGAGACCCCCACGGAUUUCCUUGUUGAUACCGGAGCUGAGUUUUCAGUCCUGACAGAGCCACUGGAGAAAUUGAGGAACGAGAAAACCAUAGUAUUCGGGGCUACUGGUCAGAAACCAUACUCUUGGACCACUGAUAGGAAAGUUGAUUUAAGAAGAAGCCAGGUAACCCAUUCCUUCCUCAUCAUUCCUGAAUGUCCCACCCCAUUGUUGGGGAGAGACUUACUAUCAAAAUUAAAAGCCCAAAUAAGCUUCUCUUCGGAAGGAACUUCAAUCUCUUGGCAAGCCCCUAUCUCUAUAAUUUUAGCUUUAAAAUUAGAAGAAAAAUAUAGAUAACAUGAACCUCAAGCCCCAUUGAGAAAAGUACUAGAAGGGAUCUGGUUAGAGAGAUAUCCUCAAGCCUGGGAAGAGACUGGGGGUAUGAGAGAGGCAAAGAGGGUGCCCCCAUCGUUGUGAUGCUAAAAACUGGUGCGACUCCUAUCAGGAUACAACAAUACCCCAUGAGCAUAGAGGCCCGAGAGGGGCUCAGACCUCACAUUCAAAGGCCCUUAGAACUAGGUGUUUUAGUCCCUUGUCAGUCUUCCUGGAAUAUUCCGUUGCUACCAGUUACAAAGCUUUGCCACCCUGACAGCCCCACCCUGCCCCCUUACUAAAGAGACUGGGACUUUCUCAUAGACCCCCCAUACACCAGGAGGCCUUUAAAGAGAUUAGAAAGGCCUUGCUUAGUGCACCAAUCCUAGCCCUGCUGGACCUGACAAAGCCUUUCACUCUCUAUGUAGACGAAAGAGCAAGAAUAGCGAGAGGGGUCCUGACCCAAGCUCUGGGGCCAUGGAAACGACCUGUGGCCUACUUGUCAAAAAUAAUUAGACCCAGUGGCCAAUGGAUGACCUUCUUGCUUAAAAGCUACUGCUGCUGUGGCACUACUUCUCAAAGAUGCUGACAAACUGACUCUAGGUCAAUGAACUAUAGUAGUAGCCCCCCAUGCCUUAGAAAGCAUUGUUAGACAACCGCCUGAUCGCUGGAUGACUAAUGAUCACAUGACCCAUUAUCAGAGCCUCUUACUGAUUGGGAGAGUGCAGUUUGCACCCCUCUGCUAUCCUGAAUCCUGUCACCUUGCUGCUGGAAGCUGACGACUCCCUACCAGUGCACCAGUGUAUGGAUAUCCUGGCAGAAGAAACCUGAACUAGGAAAGACCUCACUGACCAGCCAUGGCCAGGCUGCCCCACCUGGUACAUGGAUGGUAGCAGCUUUUUGGUUAAAAGUAAGCGAAAAGUGGGGGCAGCAGUGGUCAACGGAAAACAAACCAUCUGGGCCAGCAGCUUGCCUGAAGGGAUGACAGCCCAGAGAGCAGAGCUAAUUGUACUCACCCAAGCCUUGUGGCUGGCAGAAGGGAAGAAUAUCAAUAUCUACACAGACAGCAGGUAUGCUUUCGCCACUGCUCACAUACAUGGGGGCGAUCUAUAGACAAAGGGGGCUACUCACAUCUGCUGGGAAAGAUAUUAAAAAUAAAGAAGAAAUCUUGAGUCUAUUAGAAGCCAUAUACUUGCC